rnacentral:lncRNA from 1 species
AUAAUCCAAAAAUUUCAAUUCAUAUCCUAAAGGUUCAAUUCGUAUCCUAAAGGUUCAACUCAUAUCCACAAAAGUUCAAGUCAUAUCCUAAAAUUUUAAUUUAUAAACUAAAAUUCCAAUACAUAAACUAAUAUCCUAAAGGUUCAAUUCAUAUCCUAAAGGUUCAAGUCAUAUCCACAAAAGUUCAAGUCAUAUCCUAAAAUUUCAAUUUAUAAACUAAAAUUUCGAUAUAUAAACUAAAAGUCCAACUCAUAUCCUAAAGGUUCAACUCAUAUCCACAAAAGUUCAAUUCAUAUUCUAAAAUUUCAAUUUAUAAACUAAAAUUCCAAUACAUAAUCCUAAAGGUGCAACUCUUAGGGUUUCUUCUCUUCAAACAAUUUCUUCCCCAAAUUAGUAGGUAAAACUAAAUAUUUUGGACUAAAUGUAUUAAUAAGAACCCUAAAAAUUGCAAAAAAUAUAUAACUUUGAACCUUAACAUGGUUGAGCUAACUUUGAACCCUAAUAUGGAGAAAUUAAACCCUAACAUGGAGAAAUUAACUUCGAACCCUAACAUGGUUGAACAAAUAAUAUAUAACUUUGAACCCUAACAUGGAGAAAUUAA